rnacentral:antisense_RNA from 1 species
GAAGAUUACCACAGAAGGACAAAUCAGUUGGGAAAAACAUAGCCUGCUCCCAUCCAUCAGCGAUCCUGGAGAGUCCACCAGGCUAAAGACCAAAGAGGUAACAGCUAUUACCACUGAUUGGGGAAGGGGCAAUGAAGCAGUCAAGCUUUCUCUUUCUGCUGACCAAUCAAUACAAAGCGGCCACUGAACUUCAAUGAUGCAUUGUUCCAACUGAUUUCCGGAUCCUUCACAUGAACCAGCCCUCAGCUGCAGCUGGGGAGGGGCUGAAGGGUAGGGAGCCCUAUCCCACCUGCAUCAGAGGCCUGGAAGCACUGAGCCAUGCAGACCCAAUCAUGAUUGCUAUCUGGGCAACAGGGCCCUGGCUGGAGCCUCACAGAAGGCCCUGUUUACAGUAAUAACAGCACCAGGCCCUGCUGUCUGAGCAGAGGCAAGAUGCCUGGGGCCAGAAUCCCCAGGCAGCCUCCAUCUGUGCUAACGUUAUCUAGCCUGCCAGCCA